rnacentral:lncRNA from 1 species
UAGCCUGUCCUGACGAAACCUUUGGCUUCAACUGCAGUGGGGCGUGUCGCUGCUUAUUAAACUGUGAUCCUCAAACUGGAAACUGCGACCAAUUUUCUUGUGCUCAAGGAUGGUCCGGACCACCGAAGUGUCAAACACCCUGUAGCAAUACAACGUUCGGGUCUAGCUGUAACUAUCAGUGUCACUGUCCGCCGGAAGAUAGUUGCUCGCCUAUCAACGGCUUGUGCAGUAGUAACCAGUGUGCCGUCAGUUGGUCAAGUGCCGGAUGCCAAAACGAACUACCUCAGUUGACGAAUCCACCGACGGCAGAAAACGUGACCUGUUUAAAUGCAACUGUCGUCUGGCAGGGCUGGCAGAGAUAUACGG